rnacentral:ncRNA from 2 species
ACCUAGGGUAGAGGUGCUGUGAUUAUUAGUAUGUGUCCAUAGCUUGCAGGCGAUGAAGGAUGCAGAAAGGGGUUACAGCCGAAGGAAGUAAGUCUGGCAGGGCUACUUUCUGGGUUUGUAUAAAAUAUAUGCAAAACUGUCACUAUUUAUAGUGGAGAGCUACAAGGUUC